rnacentral:rRNA from 1 species
AGAGUUUGAUCCUGGCUCAGGAUGAACGUUGGCGGCGUGCCUAACACAUGCAAGUCGAACGAGCAGCCGGAUUCUUCGGAAACCGGCGGGCGAGUGGCGCACGGGUGAGUAACACGUUGGUGACCUGCCCCGAAGCGGGGGACAACCACUGGAAACGGUGGCUAAUACCGCAUAUGCUUAACCAUUCGUUUGGUAUAAGUAAAACUCAGGUGCUUCGGGAGGGGCCUGCGGUCGAUUAGUUAGUUGGUGAGGUAAUGGCUCACCAAGACGAUGAUCGAUAGGGGGCGUGAGAGCGUGACCCCCCACACUGGGACUGAGACACGGCCCAGACUCCUACGGGAGGCAGCAGUGAGGAAUAUUGCACAAUGGGCGCAAGCCUGAUGCAGCAACGCCGCGUGGGGGAUGAAGGCCUUCGGGUCGUAAACCCCUUUUCUGAGGGAAGAGAAAGGACGGUACCUCAGGAAUAAGUCUCGGCUAACUACGUGCCAGCAGCCGCGGUAAAACGUAGGAGGCGAACGUUAUCCGGAUUUACUGGGCGUAAAGCGCGCGCAGGCGGUUUCGUAAGUCCGACGUGAAAGCUCCCGGCUUAACUGGGAGAGGCCGUUGGAUACUGCGGAGCUUGAGGUUGGGAGAGGAAAGUGGAAUUCCCGGUGUAGUGGUGGAAUGCGUAGAUAUCGGGAGGAACUCCAGUGGCGAAAGCGACUUUCUGGCCUACACCUGACGCUGAGGCGCGAAAGCGUGGGGAGCGAACAGGAUUAGAUACCCUGGUAGUCCACGCUGUAAAC